GACGAACGCUGGCGGCGUGCUUAACACAUGCGAGUCGAACGGAAAGGCCCUUCGGGGUACUCGAGUGGCGAACGGGUGAGUAACACGUGGGUGAUCUGCCCUGCACUUUGGGAUAAGCCUGGGAAACUGGGUCUAAUACCGAAUAGGACCGCGCGCUUCAUGGUGUGUGGUGGAAAGCUUUUGCGGUGUGGGAUGGGCCCGCGGCCUAUCAGCUUGUUGGUGGGGUAAUGGCCUACCAAGGCGACGACGGGUAGCCGGCCUGAGAGGGUGACCGGCCACACUGGGACUGAGAUACGGCCCAGACUCCUACGGGAGGCAGCAGUGGGGAAUAUUGCACAAUGGGCGCAAGCCUGAUGCAGCGACGCCGCGUGAGGGAUGACGGCCUUCGGGUUGUAAACCUCUUUCACCAGGGACGAAGCGCAAGUGACGGUACCUGGAGAAGAAGCACCGGCCAACUACGUG
rnacentral:rRNA from 1 species